UCUCUCUCUAUUUCUUUCCCCUAAAGUUCGCAUCUUUUUAUACAUGAUGAGGUUUUUUUGAAUGAUAUAAGCAUGAUUACCAGUAAAAUAGGAUUAAUUUGUGAUAGAAUGGAGAAAAAGGUUGAGAACUUGUUUCCUUUUGAGGGAAUUUGAAAUGGGUUUGUAUUGAUUUUAGAAAAAGGGUUUUAGAAAUUGGGGUUUCAGGUCCUGCAUAAGUGAAUUGGGGUUUUCAGGUCCUGCAUGGACUAGAUUAUAUGUAGGCAUUGUUUUUUUGGAUUGGGAUUGGGAUUAGGGCGUUCGAUAGAGGAUAUGUGGUAUUUCUUGGUGAAGAAGCUUUGUGAAGCGAGAAUGGACACACGUAAAAGGGCUAGAUUGCGUGUGGUAGGGGUGGGGAAAAAAACCGAAGAACCGAUAAACCGCACAGAACCAAUUAAAGGAACAGCAACAGCUGCAGAGUCAAGAUCUAAGAGUGUUGCUUUCGCCUUUGAGCGCUGUCAAUGGUGUUGGCCCCAGUGCAUGACAUCGCAGGCACCUACGGAAUUAAUAAACAGAGUCUGGAAUUGUAAAAGCUUAAAAACUCCAGGUCAAUUGGGAGGAGAAAACCACUUAGUGCCAUGGUAACGAAUGGAAUGUAUACACACAUAGAUUCGUGGAGAAACUAAACAUUUUGCGACUAGACUGCGGCCGAGCUAUUAAGUUUUGUUGUUGUGAAGAGUGACAAGUGAUACAUUAGACAUGGAUCUUAGUAAUGUUUUCCUUUUCGAAGAAUAUAUAGAACUGUGUUCAAUUUUUAUUCUGUGACUUAUAUGUCAUGGAGCUUAUUCUCAUUAUUUUGAGAUGCUUAUUUUCGUUGUUGCUUUUUCAUUUAUGUGGCAGAGAGCCAAUGUAACAUGCUUUAGUGUUUAGCAAUUUGACUAUA